rnacentral:rRNA from 1 species
GACCUGCGGAAGGAUCAUUACCGAGUUGAUUCGAGCUCCGGCUCGACUCUCCCACCCUAUGUGUACCUACCUCUGUUGCUUUGGCGGGCCGCGGUCCUCCGCACCGGCGCCCUUCGGGGGGCUGGCCAGCGCCCGCCAGAGGACCAUAAAACUCCAGUCAGUGAACUUCGCAGUCUGAAAAACAAGUUAAUAAACUAAAACUUUCAACAACGGAUCUCUUGGUUCUGGCAUCGAUGAAGAACGCAGCGAAAUGCGAUAAGUAAUGUGAAUUGCAGAAUUCAGUGAAUCAUCGAAUCUUUGAACGCACAUUGCGCCCCUUGGUAUUCCGAGGGGCAUGCCUGUUCGAGCGUCAUUUCAACCCUCAAGCUCUGCUUGGUAUUGGGCCCCGUCCUCCACGGACGCGCCUUAAAGACCUCGGCGGUGGCGUCUUGCCUCAAGCGUAGUAGAAAACACCUCGCUUUGGAGCGCACGGCGUCGCCCGCCGGACGAACCUUUGAAUUAUUUCUCAAGGUUGACCUCGGAUCAGGUAGGGAUACCCGCUGAACUUAAGCAUAUCAA